rnacentral:rRNA from 1 species
UACGAAGGGGGCUAGCGUUGCUCGGAAUUACUGGGCGUAAAGCGCACGUAGGCGGAUUGUUAAGUCGGGGGUGAAAUCCUGCAGCUCAACUCCAGAACUGCCUUCGAUACUGGCGAUCUCGAGUUCGGGAGAGGUGAGUGGAACUGCGAGUGUAGAGGUGAAAUUCGUAGAUAUUCGCAAGAACACCAGUGGCGAAGGCGGCUCACUGGCCCGAUACUGACGCUGAGGUGCGAAAGCGUGGGGAGCAAACAGG